rnacentral:rRNA from 1 species
AGCGAACGUUUGCGGCGGGCCUAACACAUGCAAGUCGAACGGGUUGGCAACAACCAGUGGCGCACGGGUGCGUAACACGUAGGUAAUCUACCCUCAAGUUCGGGAUAACGAUCUGAAAGGAUCGCUAAUACCGGAUGUGUUCCGAAAGGAAGAAAGACCCGCAAGGGUCGCUAGAGGACGAGCCUGCGGCCCAUCAGCUAGUUGGUGAGGUAAUGGCUCACCAAGGCUAAGACGGGUAGCUGGUCUGAGAGGAUGAUCAGUCACACUGGAACUGAGACACGGUCCAGACUCCUACGGGAGGCAGCAGUGGGGAAUAUUGCGCAAUGGGCGAAAGCCUGACGCAGCCACGCCGCGUGAGCGAUGAAGGCC